rnacentral:rRNA from 1 species
CCUACGGGAGGCAGCAGUGGGGGAUAUUGGACAAUGGGCCACAAGCCUGAUCCAGCAAUUCUGUGUGCACGAUGAAGGUCUUCGGAUCGUAAAGUGCUUUCAGUAGGGAAGAAAAAAAUGACGGUACCUACAGAAGAAGCGACGGCUAAAUACGUGCCAGCAGCCGCGGUAAUACGUAUGUCGCAAGCGUUAUCCGGAAUUAUUGGGCGUAAAGCGCGUCUAGGCGGUCUUUUAAGUCUGAUGUUAAAAUGCGGGGCUCAACUCCGUAUUGCGUUGGAAACUGGAAGACUAGAGUAUCAGAGAGGUGGGCGGAACUACAAGUGUAGAGGUGAAAUUCGUAGAUAUUUGUAGGAAUGCCGAUUGGGAAGCCAGCUCACUGGAUGAAUACUGACGCUGAAGCGCGAAAGCGUGGGGAGCAAACGGGAUUAGAUACCCCGGUAGUCCACGCCGUAAACGAUGAUCACUAAGUGUGGGGGGUCGAACCUCCGUGCUCAAGCUAACGCGAUAAGUGAUCCGCCUGGGGAGUACGCACGCAAGUGUGAAACUCAAAGGAAUUGACGGA